rnacentral:tRNA from 1 species
GCUAAGGUGGUCGAGUGGUUAAGACGGAGCACUUAAGAUGCUCUCCGCGUUCAGCGGGCAUGGGUUCGAUCCCCAUCCUUAGCA